rnacentral:lncRNA from 1 species
CCGUCCCCCGCCGUCCCCCUCCGUCCCCCUCCGCACGCGGGUCUUCCCGGCCUCGGCCUCGGCCUGGCGGGGGGGGCUGUGCGUCCCAGAGGCCUCGACCCCGGAACCGGCCGUCUCACCCCCCAAUUCCGCCUCGUCCCCCGCGCCUCCCUGUGCUCGCCCAAGACCCGAGGGGGCUGCUCCCGCAGCAGCACCGGGGCAGCGCCCGGCUCCGGGGCGGGGACCCCGGCUCGCCCCCCGCCUCCCCCGCUGCUCCGACGCGGCCCCCCUGGCCGGGUGGCCCGACGGUACGGGUCGGGCGGUGCCGGGGGCGGCCGGUCGCUGACGCCCCGACACCCAGACAGCGCUGCCCGGGCCCCACCUGGGAUCCGCCCGUGGCCGGCGUCCGCCCCCCGGAGCCCGGCCCCCGCGAGGCCCGAGCGGCCGCGUCGCUGGAAGUCGGCGAAGUCUAAGCCGGGAGUUCGGUGCCUCAAGGGCCCACGCAGGGUCACUGAACUCACCCCCAAAUGAUCCUGCAGAUGGCAACAGAGGCCCAGGAAACGUGCCUCAUCCUGGAGGGAGCCCAGAUCUCUGGGGGUGUGAGGAAGGCUGAGCCCUCCCCCCACCAAAGCAAAGCAAGGUGAUUUGAAGAAAUCCAGGCAAGGGAGAGCAUCUUUCGCUUCCAUCCUCCAUCGUUUGUAACUCAGAAAGAAAUUAUUUUGAAUCCUAAAAUUGACAUGAAGAAAGAAAAAAGCAAUUAAAAUAAAAAGGACAUCCAAAGGCAAAAUUAAACUUUACCUCUGGAUGGAAAAGCCACAUGGUCUGUCACAAGUCACAGGAGUAGAAAAGGGCAGAGGGGCGUCCCUGGGUGGCUCAGUGGUUGAGGGUCUGCCUUCAGCUCAGGGCAUGAUCCUGGGGUCCCGGGAUCGAGUCCCACGUCAGGCUCCCCACAGGGAGCUGCUUCUCCCUCUGCCUGUGUCUCUGCCUCUCUCUGUGUGUCUCUCAUGAAUAAACACAUAAAUCUUAAAUAUAUAUAUGUAUGUACGUAUUUGUUUUUUACCUGAAAGCCCAACCUCAUCAGGCAUCUGGAUUUGAUAUGCCAAGCAUACCUGUAAGUGUGAGUUCUGGCACGGCAUCUCCAUCAUUCUGACAGUGUUCGGUUUUCCUGUGACCUACCCAUAACCACCAACUCAAUUCCUGACGGGGCCCUGGGCAGCUAACAUCAAUGUACGGAUGAGGUGAUCAACAGGAGAAAUUGGGCCUGGAGCUGAA